UACGGAGGAUGCGAGCGUUAUCCGGAUUUAUUGGGUUUAAAGGGUGCGUAGGCGGAAUAUCAAGUCAGCGGUAAAAGCCCGGGGCUCAACCCCGGCGAGCCGUUGAAACUGGCGGGCUGGAGUUGGAGAGAAGUAUGCGGAAUGCGCGGUGUAGCGGUGAAAUGCAUAGAUAUCGCGCAGAACUCCGAUUGCGAAGGCAGCAUGCCGGCUCCACACUGACGCUGAGGCACGAAAGCGUGGGUAUCGAACAGG
rnacentral:rRNA from 1 species